CGAAAGGCGUAGUCGAUGGGAAACAGGUUAAUAUUCCUGUACUUGGUGUUACUGCGAAGGGGGGACGGAGAAGGCUAUGUCAGCCGGGCGACGGUUGUCCCGGUUUAAGCAUGUAGGCGGAGGUUCCAGGUAAAUCCGGUACCUUAUUAACGCUGAGGUGUGAUGACGAGGCACUACGGUGCUGAAGUGAUAAAUGCCCUGCUUCCAGGAAAAGCCUCUAAGCAUCAGGUAACACGAAAUCGUACCCCAAACCGACACAGGUGGUCAGGUAGAGAAUACCAAGGCGCUUGAGAGAACUCGGGUGAAGGAACUAGGCAAAAUGGUGCCGUAACUUCGGGAGAAGGCACGCUGAUAUGUAGGUGAAGUCCCUGCGGACGGAGCUGAAAUCAGUCGAAGAUACCAGCUGGCUGCAACUGUUUAUUAAAAACACAGCACUGUGCAAACACGAAAGUGGACGUAUACGGUGUGACGCCUGCCCGGUGCCGGAAGGUUAAUUGAUGGGGUUAGCGGCAACGCGAAGCUCUUGAUCGAAGCCCCGGUAAACGGCGGCCGUAACUAUAACGGUCCUAAGGUAGCGAAAUUCCUUGUCGGGUAAGUUCCGACCUGCACGAAUGGCGUAAUGAUGGCCAGGCUGUCUCCACCCGAGACUCAGUGAAAUUGAACUCGCUGUGAAGAUGCAGUGUACCCGCGGCAAGACGGAAAGACCCCGUGAACCUUUACUAUAGCUUGACACUGAACACUGGUCCUUGAUGUGUAGGAUAGGUGGGAGGCUUUGAAGCGUGGACGCCAGUCUGCGUGGAGCCAACCUUGAAAUACCACCCUUUAAUGGCUGGUGUUCUAACGUAGACCCGUAAUCCGGGUUGCGGACAGUGUCUGGUGGGUAGUUUGACUGGGGCGGUCUCCUCCCAAAGAGUAACGGAGGAGCACGAAGGUUGGCUAAUCCUGGUCGGACAUCAGGAGGUUAGUGCAAUGGCAUAAGCCAGCUUGACUGCGAGCGUGACGGCGCGAGCAGGUGCGAAAGCAGGUCAUAGUGAUCCGGUGGUUCUGAAUGGAAGGGCCAUCGCUCAACGGAUAAAAGGUACUCCGGGGAUAACAGGCUGAUACCGCCCAAGAGUUCAUAUCGACGGCGGUGUUUGGCACCUCGAUGUCGGCUCAUCACAUCCUGGGGCUGAAGUAGGUCCCAAGGGUAUGGCUGUUCGCCAUUUAAAGUGGUACGCGAGCUGGGUUUAGAACGUCGUGAGACAGUUCGGUCCCUAUCUGCCGUGGGCGCUGGAGAAUUGAGGGGGGCUGCUCCUAGUACGAGAGGACCGGAGUGGACGCAUCACUGGUGUUCGGGUUGUCAUGCCAAUGGCACUGCCCGGUAGCUAAAUGCGGAAGAGAUAAGUGCUGAAAGCAUCUAAGCACGAAACUUGCCCCGAGAUGAGUUCUCCCUGAGACUUUAAGUCUCCUGAAGGAACGUUGAAGAC
rnacentral:rRNA from 1 species